GAAAUGCCGUAAGUUGGAAGAUGAAACUAUGCACGAUGUGCUCUGGGAGCAAGGCAGAGGGCCAUCUGCGCCAACUGGGAAAUCUGAAACACUUUCCGGAAGAGAAGACACGUUAACUAAACUGUGAGGGACAAAAAGGAACUAGCCAGGGAGGUAAAAGGAAGAGACACCACAGAAGGAACUCGUGAACGUAAACAAAGGCCCAAACUGCUGAAACACAAUUAAAACUCUGUGUACACCUGCCCAUGGUUUGCUUGGAGAAGCUGCAAACACUUCAGUUACAGGAUACAAAAUCGGAGCAGAAGAAUUAAGUCUGGAGAGGAAGACCAGUCUUGUUCAUGAAGAAUUUGGGGACUGUGUUGAAAUUCUACUGUAGGGGCGCCUGGGUGGCUCAGUGGGUUAAGCCUCUGCCUUUGGCUCCGGUCUUGGUCUCAGGGUCCUGAGAUUGAGCCCCACAUCCGGCUCUCUGCUCGGCGAGGAGCCUGCUUUCCUGAUUCGACUAUAAACUCUAGCAAUUGUUUGGGUUCAAAUCUAAGAGACCGCUAAUGACAGACUUGUCAACAGCCCAGAGACCAAAGGUCAGAGUCUUAAUUGGACUUGGUGGAGUCUGUAGCUGACAAGCAAAGGACAGGGGAUAGGUGUGGUGUCUGUCACAGGAAGAAAUACAACUGAAGGCACAUCAAGAAAACAUUCAUGAAUGAGAGCGAUUUUUAGUUGAGUCGAGAUGGAGGAACAGGACUUCGCCACAGAGCAUAGCAUAAUGAGAGACCUGAAGCACGACUAGGCAUUGGCCAAAUGAGGAAGAGGAAAGAAUAUGUCCGACAGAAGGAAGGACCUGUGGAAAGACGUGGCAGAAGGGUCACAGAAGAUCCAGGCUACUGUGAUCAAGGGACUGAAAGAAAACCCAUAGCGCUGGAGUACAGAGAGCAGAGGAAGACCGAGGAGACGAGGUCGAGAAGGUGACGGAGGGUCAGUCAUCUUUGCUUCCCCCAAACGUUGGUCAGUUUAUUUGGAGACAAGCUCUACGUGCCAUCCGUCUGCCCAUGUGUUGGUUCGGGGAAGACGACCCGAUGUGCCUGUGCUGGCAGCGGCUUCACUGCGGACCUCGGGCGAAUCCCCUAGUUUCAACUCCGGUUCCCAUUUGCUUGCUAUUGACUCGGAGGCCAGAGACUUUCUGGGAUUCGUUGUCGAGCAUCGGCUCUACAUCUCCGUAGCUCCAUCGUCUGUAAAACCUCAGCUCUCAGCCUGUCUCAUUCACCACGCCAUUCUCAGUCAGUUUCAACUCCCAAAAAAGUGUUAAAACCAUUUGUUUGUUGGUUCAUUCCUACCCUCAUUUUCGUUAGGGUUAUUGAUUUCUUUCUUUCUUUUUUUUUUUUUUUUUUAAAGAUUUUAUUUAUUUAUUUGACAGGCAGAGAUCACAAGUAGGCAGAGAGGCAGACAGAGAGAGAGGUGGAAGCAGACUCCCCGCAGAGCAGAGAGCCCGAUGUGGGGCUCGAUCCCAGGACCCUGGGAUCAUGACCUGAGCUGAAGGCAGAGGCUUUAACCCACUGAGCCACCCAGGCGCCCCUAUUGAUUUCUUUCUUUUCAUGCUUCUCUACUUCAAGCUCAGGAGAUGUUAAAAUGAAAAUCAUACCUCAUUUGCCCCCUAGGACAAGUGCUAAAAGUAAUUAUUUUUAAUAUCUUAUUUAGCUUGUGCAUAUGUAAAGGAAUUAAGAGACACACAUGAUCUGUUCUAGACAACUUGUUUCUGCUUUUUCUCUUCUGAGUUUGACUUCCCACAGGAACCCAAAUAUAGUCAUUACAUGAUUGUUGAUUUUCUUAACUUUCAUUUUUAAUUUAAUUCUGAGAUUUAUGAUAACUCUGUGGUGCAUCUUUUAAGCCACAUUAAAAUCUUUUUUUUUUUUUUUUACAAAAUGUGGCUCAAAAUGAGAAACUGUAUUUGAA